rnacentral:lncRNA from 1 species
CCUUUCCUGGCUGCCUACACAGAAAGCAGCCACGGGGGACUUGCCGAGGACUUUGUCCACCAAGUGAUGAAAGCAUGCAAAUGCCUCCGAAUCAAAGGCCUGAGCCACGUAUGAAGUUGAAUCUUCACACCAUGCUAGAGAAGCCACAUAUUAUUGUUCUGGUCAACAAUCCCAGCUGACCCAACCAGACAGUGUAUCUUCACCAGCAGAACACCAUUCAGCAACCCUUGUCGGCAUCAUGUGGGGCAGAAGAACCACCCAGCUGAGCCUUAUCCAAAUUCCUGACCACAAAAUCAUAAGCCCUGAGGGAGCAAGACCAGCCCCUUCUUUUCUUCCUCCUCCUCAUCUACUCAACAUGUGUCUUCAUUCUCAAGACGAUGAGGAUGAAGACUUUUAUGAUGCUCCACUCCCAGUUAAUAAAUAGCACACUAAGACAUUCUGUGGAGGAAGGAAAGCCAUUGCUAUUCUUGUGCUGAUGGAAAGUGGCUUCUACUCACCUCUUAGCCCCAGAUCUGGGGGACUAU